GGGGAUUUAGCUCAGUGGUAGAGCACUUGCCUAGCAAGCACAAGGCCCUGGGUUCGAUCUCCAGCUCUG
rnacentral:tRNA from 1 species